rnacentral:rRNA from 1 species
AUUGAACGCUGGCGGCACGCCUAACACAUGCAAGUCGAGCGGCAGCGAGACUAGUAGCAACACUAGUUGUCGGCGAGCGGCGGACGGGUGAGUAACACGUAGGAAUCUGCCCUUAAGCGGGGGAUAACCAAGGGAAACUUUGGCUAAUACCGCAUAAUCUCGAGAGAGCAAAGCUGCCCGCAAGGGUGGCACUUGAGGAGGAGCCUGCGUCCGAUUAGCUAGUCGGUGGGGUAAUGGCCUACCAAGGCGAUGAUCGGUAACUGGUCUGAGAGGACGACCAGUCACACUGGGACUGAGACACGGCCCAGACUCCUACGGGAGGCAGCAAUGGGGAAUAUUGGACAAUGGGGGCAACCCUGAUCCAGCGAUGCCGCGUGAGUGAAGAAGGCCUUCGGGUCGUAAAGCUCUUUAGGUUGGGAAGAAGGGUAUUGGCUGAAUAAUCCAGUACUUUGACGGUACCGACAGAAUAAGCACCGGCAAACUCUGUGCCAGCAGCCGCAGUAAAAC